rnacentral:rRNA from 1 species
UACGGAGGGUGCGAGCGUUAUCCGGAAUCACUGGGUUUAAAGGGUGCGUAGGCGGGGCGAUAAGUCAGAGGUGAAAUCUCGUUGCUUAACAACGGAAUUGCCUUUGAUACUGUUGUUCUUGAAAUAUGUUGAGGUUGGCGGAAUGAGACAUGUAGCGGUGAAAUGCUUAGAUAUGUCUUAGAACACCGAUUGCGAAGGCAGCUGACUGGACAUUAUUUGACGCUGAGGCACGAAAGCGUGGGGAUCAAACAGG